rnacentral:rRNA from 1 species
UACGGAGGGUGCGAGCGUUGUCCGGAAUCAUUGGGCGUAAAGGGCGCGUAGGUGGCCUGCUAAGCGUGCGGUGAAAGUCGGGGGCUCAACCCCCGAUCGGCCGUGCGAACUGGGAGGCUUGAGCACUGUAGAGGCAGGCGGAAUUCCGGGUGUAGCGGUGAAAUGCGUAGAUAUCUGGAGGAACACCGGUGGCGAAGGCGGCAUCCUGGACCGAUAUUGACGCUGAGGAGCGAAAGCCAGGGGAGCAAAGCGGG